rnacentral:sRNA from 1 species
AGCAGCCGCGGUAAUUCCAGCUCCAAUAGCGUAUAUUAAAGUUGUUGUGGUCAAAAAGCUCGUAGUUGAACCUUGGGCCUGGCUGGCCGGUCCGCCUCACCGCGUGUACUGGUCCGGCCGGGCCUUUCCCUCUGUGGAACCCCAUGCCCUUCACUGGGUGUGGCGGGGAAACAGGACUUUUACUGUGAAAAAUUAGAGUGCUCCAGGCAGGCCUAUGCUCGAAUACAUUAGCAUGGAAUAAUAGAAUAGGACGUGUGGUUCUAUUUUGUUGGUUUCUAGGACCGCCGUAAUGAUUAAUAGGGACAGUCGGGGGCAUCAGUAUUCAAUUGUCAGAGGCGAAAUUCUUGGAUUUAUUGAAGACUAACUACUGCGAAAGCAUUUGCCAAGGAUGUUUUCAUUAAUCAGGAACGAAAGUUAGGGGAUCGAAGACGAUCAGAUACCGUCGUAGUCUUAACCAUAAACUAUGCCGACUAGGGAUCGGGACAGUGUUAUAUUUUGACCCGUUCGGCACCUUACGGGA